CCGAGGUGUCUUUUGCACGGAGCCCCGGGAAGAUUGAAAGGACCCGGUUUUUCUCUCUCCAUCUCCCUUGACCAAUUAUCAUCGAUUGCUAUUGGCUACAAUCGAUAAGCAUCGGAAGAUAGGAGAUCGGCACCGAAGGAGCCAAAGUUUCUCCAAUGAUGCGCUGAGCCCCGACUCGCACGAGAGGAUGGAUCCGAGCUGUCUGCUCCCGCUGAUCCUACUGAUCGGAUGGAAGCCGGCGGCGA